UUGAGUUUGAGACCCCUGGUGUAGAGGCUCCCUUCAAUGUCCAGUUCUCUAUUGGACAAACUAGCUACAAUUGACUGUCCUCUUAGUCUUACCAUUGUCAUCAAAUCCAUGUGUGAUCUCAUGUCCGAUGACCAUUCCGAUUCCACCAAAGUUCAGAGCCUGCUGCUGAUGUUUACUAAAGAAAGGUGGCUGCAGAAUGCCUGCAGGAAACACUGCACACACGAGAAAAACGCUCAUGAAUGAAACUGGAGAAGCUACCGAAGAAUGUUAUUGCUCAAGGCUCUUACCGAUCUGGUUUCUGUUGGGAGAGUAAAACGCAUUCACCACAGCAGCACCGAUGAUCCACCUGGAAUGUAAACAAUGAAUCAAGUGCUACACUGCACUAUAUACUUCAUCCUCAGUCAGGCUGAUUUCAAAGUGUCAGCUUACAAGUUGGGAUCCACUGGCUCCCUGAGCUUCUUUAGACUCUUGUGGGCCUCAGACUUUAGAUUCUCCAGGACAUUCUCAAAGUAGUGUUCCUCGCUGAAAUUCAACUGUAAAGGAAAGCAAAUCAGCAAGGACUCAAAGUACCGGCAGUACUUUUCUCCAAGCUAAAAUGUCUCCUUACAUGAGCAUACUCUUGGUCCAGCUUGAAGUUACUUUUCUGUAGAACAUGAUCUGGAUAGCCGAUAUGCUCCUUGAUUGACAUGGCCUGCAGAUAAAUUAACCACAGUUAAGAUUAUCUGCAGUACAUGCAUAGUGACUCUUUGUAAAUCUACCUUCUCACUCGCUAAAUGUACUGCAAAAAAGGUCAGUAAGGAUAAUUCAUAAUGCCGCCUACAGGGAACAUACUAACUCCUUAUUUCUAAAAUCACAAAUACUUAAACUUGCUGAUAUAGUUAAUCUUCAAACAGCUAAAAUAAUGCAUAAGGCUAAAAAUAACCAAUUACCUAAAAAUGUCAUCCAAUACUUCUCUACAAGAGAGGAGAAAUAUGAUCUCAGGGAAGAACUACAUUUGAAACACUUAUAUGCUAGGACUACAUUAAAAAGCCAUGGCAUGUCAGUGUGUGGAAUCAAACUAUGGAAUGGAUUGAGUAAGGAACUCAAACAAUGCACAACGAUGAGCCAAUUCAAGAAACAAUACAAGCAGUUGAUGUUUGCUAAAUACAAGGAUGAAGAGUCUUGAACCAGUCAUGAUGUGCUAUACAUAUCACUAUAUUGACACUUACUAUGGUACUGAAUACCUCGUACUACGGUACAUGACAAAAAAUAAAUAAAUAAAAAAUAAUAAUAAAACGUAAACUAUAUUAGGAAAGCAGGAAGUGAACAAAUGUAACAGUUACUGAUUGUAAAAGUACCAGAUGAAGGGAUAGGAUUUAAUAAGCUUUGCUUCUUCCUUCUCCUUUUGGACAUGUGGAACUGUGAACUGAUUAUGUGAUGCAUUCAAUUGUAAUCUGAUUCAUGUUCAAAUGAAAUAUUACCAUUACCAUUACCUUCUCUCUUGCUUUCUCCUUGGAGGGGGCAUCCAUCCAGCCUAGCUCAUCCAGCGUUUCUACAUAUGCAGUCUGGAUCUUCCCAAUGAGGUCGCUAACCUGUGAACAGAUGAAGUAAGAAAGGAAAUUUAAGAAAAGCUCAAGACCGACGAGACUAGCAUGGAUGCUGACAUAGUAGCAGGUUUAUCAAAACUGGAUAUGUGCAAGAAGAUGUCUUCAUUCUAAAUUCAGAGAUCCUACUUGACACUGACCAUCCGUUUGCUUUCCCCGGCAAAGGUCUCCCGCACAUAGAGCGCUCCAACCGCAUUCUCCAUGCUGCUUUGGACGUAACGGACACACUCCCUCCACCAAGCGUCCUCCACUGUGGUCCCAUACAAAGUCUAAACACACACAGUAACAAGAGCGUGGAUUUUGGAGUCCCAUCAUUGUAGCAACGGAGCCUACCUUUCUGUAACGAGCCCUGGCAUCUUUGAAGCGGCGACUCAAGCUGUUCACUCUGUCGAUCACCAGUUGCCAGGCCUAAGGCUGACCUGACGCUAUGUCUGGAGAGGAUUUCGUUCAUCUUGUCAAGCCGGCGAUGUGGCCUGGAAGGAAGACGAGAGUUGCCAAUCAUGCAGGCUUUUUGUCAGUAAAAGUCUCACAGCAAUGAUUGGACCAAUGCAGAGAAACAGAAACUCCAACUGAUGCCGUUACCAUUUCAUUCGGGUCCAGCACUUGCAUCAUUUCCUCCCACACACGGUCAUCAUCCUGUGUCAGGUUCCUGUCCUCCCGGGUUAUUUUGGCAAUAGAGACCAUAAAAUGGAGUGGUGGCGUUCCAGUCAUCAGAUGCCACAGGCCAGUCUCCAAUACUGUCUAUGAGCUUCAGGAGAGGCUGAGAGUCCCGCUGCUCUAUGAGGCCUGUGGGAGCUGUAAAGGAUUUUGGCCUUCUUGAUGGCAUCUCUGUCUUCCUCACACUCUGUUUCAAGAACGCCUGGAAGCAGAAAACACUAGCUUUGCAUUUAACACUUGUCCCUUAGAAUGUCAAAGACGCUAUGGCGUGAGCUGGUCUCUGGGAUGACGUGGCGCUCCAGCCAGCCCCCGCAGGCAUACUGGUAGAAGUUAUCACAAGGCUUCACAGAUGGAUCCAUGUUCUGCAGGAGCCGGGAUGCUUCGGGAAGAGGUAAAAAAAAAAGUAAGCAUGAGACAUGUUUUUUUGAGGGCGGUGGGAAUCUCUUCACCCUCACCUGCUGUAACACAGUCUGCACUUGUGCACACAUGAUGGUCCAGGUUGGAACGAAACAGCUGACCUGGAAGACAAAAUUGGGGUCAACAAGAAAAUAAUCAGGCUUUAUUGACAUAUGACAUCACAGCUGGGAAGAAGCUUGCAAAGAGCAUUUCAAAUGGAUUUGGGCACGCUGAAAAGAUAUGCUGUGUGAUGCUGGGUGCAGGAACGUCAAAAUGA